rnacentral:pre_miRNA from 1 species
CACGUACUCCCUCCGUCCGAAAAUACUUGUCAUCAAAAUGGACAAAAAAGGAUGUAUCUAAAACUAAAAUACAUCUAAAUACAUCCCCUUUUAUUCAUUUUGAUGACAAGUAUUUCCGUACGGAGGGAGUACAUG